UACGGAGGGGGCUAGCGUUGUUCGGAAUUACUGGGCGUAAAGCGCACGUAGGCGGCUUUGUAAGUUAGAGGUGAAAGCCCGGGGCUCAACUCCGGAAUUGCCUUUAAGACUGCAUCGCUCGAAUUGUGGAGAGGUAAGUGGAAUUCCGAGUGUAGAGGUGAAAUUCGUAGAUAUUCGGAAGAACACCAGUGGCGAAGGCGACUUACUGGACACAUAUUGACGCUGAGGUGCGAAAGCGUGGGGAGCAAACAGG
rnacentral:rRNA from 1 species